rnacentral:snRNA from 1 species
GUGCUCAAUUCAGCACCACAUAUACUAAAAUUAGAAUGAUACACAGGA